rnacentral:rRNA from 1 species
UUCCGGUUGAUCCUGCCGGAGACCACUGCUAUUGGGGUUCGAUUAAGCCAUGCGAGCGGAGGGCAGUUCGGCUGCCCCGCGGACGGCUCAGUAACACGUAGUCAACCUACCCUUGGGUCGGGGAUAACCCCGGGAAACUGGGGAUAAUCCCCGAUAGGUGGGGGUACUGGAAAAGUCCCUCUCCCAAAGCUCCGGCGCCCAAGGACGGGACUGCGGCCCAUCAGGUAGUUGGCGGGGUAACGGCCCACCAAGCCGACAACGGGUACGGGCUGUGAGAGCAGGAGCCCGGAGAUGGAGACUGAGACAAGGCUCCAGGCCCUACGGGGCGCAGCAGGUGCGAAAACUUCGCAAUGCGUGCAAGCGUGACGAGGGAAUCCCAAGUGCCGAUGGUCUUUCUGAUCGUCGGCUUUUCAAGAGUUUAAAUCGCUCUUGGAAUAAGAGCUGGGUAAGACUGGUGCCAGCCGCCGCGGUAACACCAGCAGCUCAAGUGGUGGUCGCGAUUAUUGGGCCUAAAGCGUCUGUAGCCGGGCCAGUAAGUCCCCUGUGAAAUCGGACGGCUCAACCGUUCGGCGUGCAGGGGAAACUACAGGUCUUGAGGCCGGGAGACGUCGAGGGUACUCCGGGGGUAGCGGUGAAAUGCUGUAAUCCCUGGGGGACCACCAGUGGCGUAGCGCUCGACGAGAACGGACCUGACGGUGAGGGACGAAAGCUGGGGGAGCGAACCGGAUUAGAUACCCGGGUAGUCCCAGCUGUAAAGUAUGUGGGCCAGGUGUAGGGCGCUCCACGAGGGCGCCCGGUGCCGUAGGGAAGCCGUUAGGCCCACCGCCUGGGAAGUACGGCCGCAAGGCUGAAACUUAAAGAAUUGGCGGGGGGAGCACCACAAGGGGUGGAGCCUGCGUUAUGAUCACGCGA